rnacentral:rRNA from 1 species
GACGAACGCUGGCGGCGUGCUUAACACAUGCAAGUCGAGCGAUGAAGCACCUUCGGGUGUGAAUUAGCGGCGAACGGGUGAGGAACACGUGAGAAAUCUGCCUUCAACACUGGGAUAACUCCGGGAAACCGGGGCUAAUACCGGAUAUGAAACCUGCGGGCAUCCGCGGGUUUGGAAAGUUUUUCGGUUGAAGAUGAUCUCGCGGCCUAUCAGCUUGUUGGUGAGGUAAUGGCUCACCAAGGCGACGACGGGUAGCCGGCCUGAGAGGGCGACCGGCCACACUGGGACUGAGACACGGCCCAGACUCCUACGGGAGGCAGCAGUGGGGAAUAUUGGGGCAAUGGAGGAAACUCUGACCCAGCGACGCCGCGUGCGGGAUGAAGGCCUUCGGUGUAAACCGCUUUCAGCAGGGAAGAAGCGAAAGUGACGGUACCUGCAGAAGAAGCACCGGCUAACUAUGUG